rnacentral:rRNA from 1 species
UACGUAGGGGGCUAGCGUUGUCCGGAAUCAUUGGGCGUAAAGCGCGUGUAGGCGGUUCGGUAAGUCCGCUGUGAAAGUCGAGGGCUCAACCCUCGAAUGCCGGUGGAUACUGUCGGGCUAGAGUACGGAAGAGGCGAGUGGAAUUCCUGGUGUAGCGGUGAAAUGCGCAGAUAUCAGGAGGAACACCAAUUGCGAAGGCAGCUCGCUGGGACGUUACUGACGCUGAGGAGCGAAAGCGUGGGGAGCGAACAGG